rnacentral:lncRNA from 1 species
GGACUUCACAUGGACCAAGUUCACGCUCAUGGGACUUCACAUGGGCCAAGUUCACGCACAUGGGACUUCACCUUGGGCUAAGCACAUGGACCCGCACUUGGACUCGCUAGCACCUCACCGUUCAACGCAACUUGGGACCACUUCACCGUGGACCAAGCACUUCACGUGCUCAACACUCACGCAGCCCAUUCCCGCACAUGGACCAAGCACGCACAUGGACCCGCCACUCACGCUCAACACUCACGCAGCCCAC